AUUUCGGUCUUUCGUGUAGAGGACUAACAAGAAGCUGGGAAGCAAUUAAAAAAGAGCUUGAGAAGUGCUUAUUAGUCUGCUCAAACUGUCACAAAGAAAUCCAUAGCGGAAUAGUGCAGCUUCCGUCGGUAACGACGGUUGAAAAAUCGGGUGAACUCAGGGAAACCUAACUCUAUCGAAUUUUCGAUGGAUAUGGUAAUCCUGAGCCAAGUUUAUGUAUAUGCCACGCCCGGAUAUACAUAAAAAGGUGCAGAGACUAGGUGAUUACACCCUCGAGCGCCCGACAUCUUACUGCGUACUAACACAAAAGAUGAUGAGAUAGUCCAUGCUGUUUGGAAACAAACGG
rnacentral:ncRNA from 1 species